GCCGCUUUCCCCCGCCCCGGCCGCGCGCCUCCUCUUUCACGGCCGGUGCCCGCCACCGUCGCUGUCGCCGCCGCCGCCGCCAUGGGGGGCAAAAACAAGCAGCGAACCAAGGGCAACCUGAGGCCUUCUAGCAGUGGCCGAGCUGCAGAGCUCCUCGCCAAAGAACGUGGAACAGUGCCUGGGUUUAUUGGCUUUGGAACAUCUCAGAGUGAUCUAGGAUACAUUCCUGCAGUUCAAGGAGCAGAGGAAAUAGACAGCCUUGUGGAUGCUGACUUUCGAAUGGUGUUGCGAAAACUUUCUAAAAGGGAUAUCACAACAAAAUUAAAAGCUAUGCAAGAGUUUGGAACAAUGUGCAAGGAAAGAGAAGUGGAAGUAGUUAAAGGUGUUCUUCCUUACUGGCCAAGAAUUUAUUGUAAAAUCUCACUAGAUCAUGAUCGCCGUGUUCGAGAAGCAACUCAGCAAUCUUUUGAGCAACUGAUUCUUAAAGUAAAGAAACACUUAGCUCCUUACUUAAAAAGUAUCAUGGGAUACUGGCUGAUAGCUCAAUGUGACACUUACUCCCCUGCUGCUUCUGCUGCAAAAGUAGCUUUUGAAAAAGCUUUUCCUUCCGGCAAACAACCUGAAGCCUUAGUAUUCUGUAAAGAUGAAAUUCUUAAUGUACUUCAAGAUCACCUUCUGAAAGAAACACCUGAUACGCUCAGUGACCCCCAAACUGUACCAGAGGAAGAAAGGGAAGCCAAAUUUUUCCGGAUUCUGACCUGUUCCUUGUUAGCUUUAAAAAAGUUGCUUAGCAUGUUGCCAAAGAGAGAGAUGCAUUCAUUGGAGGAAAAGUUAAUGCCACUUCUGUCCCAAAACAAAUUUUGGAAAUAUGGCAAACACAAUGUACCACAGGUUCGCUCAGCUUUCUUUGAGCUGGCUUCUGCUUUUUGCCAGUACUUGCCUGAGCUGGUGAAAGCUGAAGCACCAAGAGUUUGCCCUGCUGUUCUUCUCAGCAUUGAUGACAGUGAUGCAGUGGUGUGUCCUGCUCUUUGGGAAGCUGUACUUUAUGCUAUCACCACUAUUGAGGACUGUUGGAGUCAUGUAAAUGCCAAAAAGGGAGUUUUACCAAAGCUAUGGACAGUGCUUCGAGAAGGUGGACGAGGACUAGCUACUGUUAUAUACCCAAAUCUCUUGCCGUUCAUUAGCAAGGUACCUCCUGGCAUUGCAGAACCAAAGCUGGAAUAUUUCAGAACUUUUUUCAGCUCUAUAAUUCAAGGGUUGUCAAGUGAGCGAGCAAUAGCCAGCCCUUCAGAAAGUUCAGCAAUUAUAACUGCAUUUAUGGAAUGUCUGCGCUUUGUCAUACUACAGAAAAUAGGUGAAGAAGAUGACCAAAGACGAAUUCAUCAAAUGCUUAUAUAUGACCAGCUAAUUCCUCUUACUGAUGCUGUACUUAAGGAGCCCAGGUUACAAAAUGGACCGUUAUUUUAUCAAAUAGCAGAAACACUGAGCUGCUGGGAAGCUAAAGCAGAACUCUCCAAUGAUAACAGCACUGAUGAAGUUUUCAAAAAACUGUUGUCAGAUUUUUGGGGCCAUCUUUUAAAAAUGUGUGUACUUCAUGUCGAUACAUUGGAUGCUGAUGAGAAAUCAUUAUUUGCCAUAUCCAGUAUGCUAGAAAUUCUUCAGAAUCCAAAGCGUGCUACAAAACCAAACAGAAAAUCUCUAAAAAUCAGAUUUAGAGAUGAGGAUGAAUCUGAAAGAAACACAGAGAAUGGAAGGCUUACAGAAGUGAGAAAUAUUGACUCUGAAAUGCAGGCUGACUUGUGGCAUAGUUCACUUCUAAGGAAAGAACCUUUGGAGAAUUUAGUCUGCAACCUUGCUGAACUGAGUAUUGUGUAUGUCAAUGAACAGAAGUCAGAACAGCAUUUGAAAUUUCUCUCUGCCCUGCUCAACUAUUUUUCUUCAAACAGAGUUUUUCAGGUACUUUUAGAGCAGGGAAAUGAUGCAAGCUCUGCUCAAGCUGAAUCCCAAAAUGAAAUGAAAGCUCAUCAUGAAAGUCCAUCUGUACAAUUUCUGUACAUGAAUUUAAUAACUUGGCUGAAAGAAGAUUGGAGGAAAGACACCCAUUUUCUGGUUGAUGUUUUGUACAGUGUGCUUAACUGUUGCAAUAGUAAUGAUGAAAGGAAAAUAAUUCUUGAUGAUUUAACAAAGAUGGAUCUGAAAUGGAUUAUUUUUCUCCAGAUAAUUCAAAAGGCAUGCUCAAGCACAACAAAACUUUCCUUAGUCUCUGACUGGCUGAAAGGAGAUACACUUGGAGAAAGACUUGUAAUGCUGGCAGAUGAUCUGUGUCACCUGAGUUUAAAACCUAUGGCAGCCUCGUCAGAAUCACCCUCUUCAGAAAGGUGGACACUCCUGAGCUUAGUGUUGUCACAACACAUUAAAAAUGAAUCUUUGAUUGGUGAAACUUUUGUUGAAAAGAUUAUUGAUAAACUUCAAGCAGCUCUGUCUAAAGCUAAGGAUCUUUCUGAAGCUGGAAAUACUGAACCAUCAGUAUCUUUCAUCUGUGAUGUAGCCUCAAGCUUUUUCAGCUCAGUUAAAGGGUGUUUGCUGAUGCCAUCCUCAGAAGAUUUGCUGCUUACCAUCUUCCAAUUGUGUGCUCAGAGGCAGGAUGCUAUGCACUUAACAGAUUUACUUGUAUGUAAAUUAAAACACACUUGGAUGUCUGGUGUAAGUUCACUUGUGCGUCAACUUCGGAGUAUGCAGAAACAGAGUACCUUUUUGCGUAAAUCUGCACUGUGGGUCAAGAAUCAAAUUCAGUCUUCCUCUUUGGACGUUAAAAGCCUUCAGGUUUUGAUCUCUGCAGUUAGUGAUUUGUUGUCUAAGCUUAUGGAAGCUGACGGACAGUCUGGAUAUCUUGUGGGAGCUUAUGUUGAGCAUGUCAUGCCAAACAAAACUGAGUGGGGGAAAUUGCGCGAGUGUCUAUCCACUGAGUGGAUGCACAAACCUCUUUUGGAAGGAAGGCUUAGUAUGAAUUGUGAACCUUUGCGAUCAUGUGUUAAGCUGUGUGGCACAACUAAACUUCCAGGCCAUUUGUGUACUUCAGCCUUAUUAAGUAAAACAGUGCUACUUGUAUUGGAAAAUGGUAUAGUCCAUGGUAAUGAUGAUGCUGAAAGAAAGAAAAUUGACAAUAUAAUUGCAGAACUGUUGUACUCAUUACAAUGGAUUGAAGAAUUGGAGAAUCCUCCUUAUCUGCUUCUGGAAUAUCAUCAUAUGUUGGAAGAAAUGCACAUCACAUAUGAGAAGUUCAGUACACUUAGUAAUACAACUAGCCUUCAGCAAACAAUAUUUGAUAGAUCAGAGGAACAUGGAAGACUCUGGUCCUUAACCAUGGCUAAAGUGAUUCGUGUGGAAAAUACUGUAUCCUGUGAGAAGAAACAACUUUUUAAGACAACAGACGGGUUUCUGCCAUUAACAGAGGGCAGAUUGCAUACACUUCAGUGUCUAUCACCUUUUUUAAUUGAGGAAGAAAAGAAAGAACUUGUCUUCCACUGUGUGGCCAAACUUAUGACAUGCACACAGACAGAGCUUUCCAGCACUGAUGGAGCGUUUGGUUGUCUUUCCAUUUUGAACUCAUGCUUGAAUGAUAGAAGUAUUGAUUGUGGUCAUCUACUACCUGGAAUACUAAAAAUCAUAAUGUCUUGGAAAAAUGAUAAUGAGGACAGCUUUCUCUUUAGCUGCAAUCUGAAAGAAACAAGUGCUCAGUUGCUUGGUUUCAACAUAGAGAUGAUCCGUUACCUUCCCUUGCUGUUGAAGUAUUCCACAACUCCUUUGGCCGAUAAUGAAUGGGACUUUAUCAUGUGCUCCAUGCUGGCUUGGUUAGAGACAACAAGUGAAAACUGUUCGCUUUAUCAUGUCCCGCUUGUGCAGAUUUUUGCUUGUGUCAGUUGUGACUUGGCAUCUGCCCUUAGUGCUUACUUUGAAGCUGCAGCUCCUGAAACUACUGAAAACCUUCCUGUGAACUUGAUCAGUGAAUGGAAAGAAUUCUUUUCUGAGGGAAUUCACAAUUUGCUAUUACCGCUGUUGGUGAAAGUCACAGGAGAAACCAAAAAUGCUUCUGAAGGCCCUUUUCAGAACUCUGUGUUAACGUCUUUGGGCGAAGCUCUAACUUACAUCUCAAAGGACCAGUUGUUGAACCAUAAAUUGCCAGCAAAGUUUAUUGCAGGCCAGAAAACAAAUCUUCCAGAUAAACUCCAGACUCUACUAAAUACAUUAUCUCCAUUGUUGCUUUUCCAGGCUAGACCCGUACAGAUUUCUGUCUACCACAUGUUGUAUAAAUUAAUGCCUGAAUUGCCUAAAUUUGAUGAUGAAGAUCUCAAAUCUUAUGGGGAUGAAGAAGAGGAAUUAGCAUUAUCACCUCCAGCAGCUCUUAUGUCUGUCCUGGCCACGCAAGAACUCUUGCUAGAAAACAUACUGGAAUGCAUUCCAGUUGGAGAAUUUGCAGUUAUUCAGCCCCUGAGCGAUGAGUUCUGCCUUGUCCUAGGAUAUCUUCUCACUUGGAAGUUAACAUUAGCUUUCUUCAAAGCAGCUUCUUCUCAGCUGCGAGUUCUCUACUCACAAUACCUUAGAAGAACUAAAAGCCUGAAUAAACUGCUUUAUCACUUGUUCAGGCUUAUGCCUGAAAACCCUGUCUCUUCUGGGCGAACUUCGGAAGUUCCAUAUAUAGACACAAAAACCUUCUUUACGGAAGAGCUUCAUCUAGAUGUCAAAGGGACAGGAGUCCUGUCAUCUCAGAUUCCGCACUUGGCCUGCUCUGUCUACCACAUAACACUGAAAGACUUGCCAGCCAUGGUCAGGCUUUGGUGGAAUAGCUGUGAGAAACGUGUCUUCAAUGUUGUAGAUAAAUUUACAAGCAAAUAUGUCAGCAGCGUGCUUUCUUCACAGGAAAUAACUUCUGUUCAGAAUAGCACACAGUUACUUAGUGGCAUGAUGGUAAAAGCUCGGUCUGCAGCACGGGAAGUCAUUGCUACCUAUUCAGUUGAAGAUAUAUUUAUUGAACUAAUAAUACAGCUUCCAUCAAAUUACCCACUGGGAUCCAUAACAGUUGAGAGUGGAAAGAGGGUUGGUGUGGCUGUACAGCAAUGGCGCAAUUGGAUGCUACAGUUAAGCACAUAUCUUACACAUCAGAAUGGAAGUAUUAUGGAUGGCUUAUCUUUGUGGAAAAAUAAUGUGGAUAAACGUUUUGAGGGCAUUGAAGAUUGCAUGAUCUGUUUUUCAGUCAUUCAUGGUUCCAACUAUUCUCUUCCUAAAAAAGCUUGCAGAACAUGCAAGAAAAAGUUUCAUUCAGCUUGCUUGUACAAAUGGUUCACAUCCAGCAACAAGUCCACCUGUCCACUCUGUCGAGAGACAUUUUUCUGAAAUAAAACGGUCUUUCUUCUUUCUGUGAGUGAAGAUAUAAAUGAAGAGGAGACAAACUGUAUGUUGAAAGAAGCUAACUACUUGGAAAUAAUGUUGGUUACUUUAAAUGCUUGACUAGUGGGAUAUGACACAUAUUUACCUCUGGACUGUUUUUUGUAACACUGGGCUUCCAGAGGAUAAAUUUCUUGACAUUUUUUGAGAAAGAGAGAAUGGAAAUGAUUUAAAACUGGUAUUGAAAAGGCCUAGCUGAAAACACAGAUUAAGGAGCAAGCUGUAUUGUUUCCUAGCUACUGAUACUAAAACUCCAGGAUUGUUUCCGUUGCAUCACUUUUAUUAUUCUAAAUUACUUCUUUGCAAGUUCAAUAACUGAUUUGAAGGCCAGUUGUGGUUAACCAGGUAUUGCUUGAAAAGAACCAUCUUAAACUCUUCUAGCAGACCUUAACUUGCAAAUUGUCUAUUAUGAACAGCCAUGUGGAGAGCUUUUGUUUUGGUUCUGCUAGAACAAAGUGCAGGCACUUGCAAAGCAGCAGUAAGUCUUUCGACACUGGUACUUGCUGAUAGAGUAGUGCCUAGGGGUCUGGGUGAGCAGAAUUUUUGCUUUCUUCCUGGUAAGUUUGACACUACAUAGAAAGUCUGUACCUGCCAUGCAGCUUAUUCUCAUGCAUAUUGAAUGCAGGAGUAUGCUUCCCAAAACUCUCCAGAAAGCAUUGCUUUCUUUGGUCUUGUAGGAGAAGGGAAUAGGUGUGCCCUGGCAAACGCUAAGUGUAUGUAUGUGCAGGAUGAUGGGAGCAUAAUAGGAAUAGCUUCUUACAGAACUCACCUGUGUUCUUAGUUGGAUUGCAUUUUGACAAGUGCUUCCACUAAAGUUGCAGCAGACAGCUGAAGCCAGGAGAAUUGACUCAUGAUUUAUUAAAGUGGACGCAUAUAAUUUCCUUGUCUAAAUAUGCAGUUGUUAGGUAGUCUAGUGCAAUCGUUCUUUGUUGAAAGCAUGUUGGUUUAUUAUACUUUUUGUUCUGAUUUUCAUUAUUCUGUCCUUUAUAAUUUAAAACUGCAUACACUGUUGAGCAUUGUGAUCUACUGUGACAGAUGACUGCCUUUUAUCUCUGAUUACCUCUUUUAAAAAUAAUUCUUUAGUUAUAACUAAAAGCUACACAGAUUUAAUUAAAACUUCCUUUUGAUAAACGUGUAGUUUGAUUCUAUUACAUGUUUUAACUAAAUCUUAAAAUCUUCUUUCAUGUAACUGCUUUUGCUCAGCAAGCUAACUUUGUUAGCCAAAAUGGUUAACAACAUAAAACUUCUAGAGUGGUCUAAGGAUGACAGCAUUUCGAUUCAUUCAAACAGCCCUGCAGCUAUGAUUAUAACCUCAAAACCUAUGAUUCUACAUAAAAGCAAAAUUGCUAAGCAUAAAACCUCUUCUCCUUACAGUUUUGUACGGGAAAAGUAACAACAACAAAAAAAAGUGUGGCUUAGCAAAAGGUCUGCCAUCAAGUCAAAAAGGGUCUAGAAGUAGGAAGCAGUCAAAUUGAAAUAUGACUUCUCAGAAUUGACUAGUUGGUAAACUGAGAACAAAACUUUGCUUAAACUCUUCAGUGGAAAACUGUGGGAACACGUUAUUUCACAGCCACAAGGUUUCCUCUCAGUUUCUCGACUUCGACAUUCCUUAGACAAGUUAUGCAGAAGGUAAGAAUCAACAAAGUCCUGAGUCUAGCCUCAAUUUAGUCAAUGAAAUGCAUUUUUUUAGCCUCAGUAGUUUCAAGUACUAGAAUUUCUUGUAUAUAGUAAAAAUGUCAAGUAACAUCCUUAACAUGACUGCUUCUUCCCUUUAAACCUUCCUACUGUGCAUUUGUGUUCACAUUCAUGUUUAUCUA